UUUUAUGAGAGUUUGAUCCUGGCUCAGGACGAACGCUGGCGGCGUGCCUAAUACAUGCAAGUCGAACGCUUCUUUUUCCACCGGAGCUUGCUCCACCGGAAAAAGAAGAGUGGCGAACGGGUGAGUAACACGUGGGUAACCUGCCCAUCAGAAGGGGAUAACACUUGGAAACAGGUGCUAAUACCGUAUAACAAUCGAAACCGCAUGGUUUUGAUUUGAAAGGCGCUUUCGGGUGUCGCUGAUGGAUGGACCCGCGGUGCAUUAGCUAGUUGGUGAGGUAACGGCUCACCAAGGCCACGAUGCAUAGCCGACCUGAGAGGGUGAUCGGCCACAUUGGGACUGAGACACGGCCCAAACUCCUACGGGAGGCAGCAGUAGGGAAUCUUCGGCAAUGGACGAAAGUCUGACCGAGCAACGCCGCGUGAGUGAAGAAGGUUUUCGGAUCGUAAAACUCUGUUGUUAGAGAAGAACAAGGAUGAGAGUAACUGUUCAUCCCUUGACGGUAUCUAACCAGAAAGCCACGGCUAACUACGUGCCAGCAGCCGCGGUAAUACGUAGGUGGCAAGCGUUGUCCGGAUUUAUUGGGCGUAAAGCGAGCGCAGGCGGUUUCUUAAGUCUGAUGUGAAAGCCCCCGGCUCAACCGGGGAGGGUCAUUGGAAACUGGGAGACUUGAGUGCAGAAGAGGAGAGUGGAAUUCCAUGUGUAGCGGUGAAAUGCGUAGAUAUAUGGAGGAACACCAGUGGCGAAGGCGGCUCUCUGGUCUGUAACUGACGCUGAGGCUCGAAAGCGUGGGGAGCAAACAGGAUUAGAUACCCUGGUAGUCCACGCCGUAAACGAUGAGUGCUAAGUGUUGGAGGGUUUCCGCCCUUCAGUGCUGCAGCUAACGCAUUAAGCACUCCGCCUGGGGAGUACGACCGCAAGGUUGAAACUCAAAGGAAUUGACGGGGGCCCGCACAAGCGGUGGAGCAUGUGGUUUAAUUCGAAGCAACGCGAAGAACCUUACCAGGUCUUGACAUCCUUUGACCACUCUAGAGAUAGAGCUUCCCCUUCGGGGGCAAAGUGACAGGUGGUGCAUGGUUGUCGUCAGCUCGUGUCGUGAGAUGUUGGGUUAAGUCCCGCAACGAGCGCAACCCUUAUUGUUAGUUGCCAUCAUUCAGUUGGGCACUCUAGCAAGACUGCCGGUGACAAACCGGAGGAAGGUGGGGAUGACGUCAAAUCAUCAUGCCCCUUAU
rnacentral:rRNA from 1 species